CAGCAGCCGCGGUAAUACAGAGGAUGCAAGCGUUAUCCGGAAUGAUUGGGCGUAAAGCGUCUGUAGGUGGCUUUUCAAGCCCGCCGUCAAAUCCUAGGGCUCAACCCUGGACAGGCAGUGGAAACUACCAAGCUGGAGUACGGUAGGGGUAGAGGGAAUUUCCGGUGGAGUGGUAAAAUGCGUUGAGAUCGGAAAGAACACCAACGGCGAAAGCACUCUGCUGGGCCGACACUGACACUGAGAGACGAAAGCUAGGGGAGCAAAUGGGAUUAGAUACCCCAGUAGUCCCUGUCUCUUAUAC
rnacentral:rRNA from 1 species